rnacentral:tRNA from 1 species
AUUUAAAUAUCUUAAUUAAAGAGUAGUAUUGAAGUUACUAAGAUAGUUAUGAAAUAGCUUUUAAAUA